rnacentral:lncRNA from 1 species
UCGAUUUCACUAAUUUUUUCGUUAAAUUAGUGAUAAAGUUAAAAUUAAAGAGUAUUAAAGUGAAUAUUCGAUAAUUCUAGGCAGGGUAUCUGAAGUUUUUUUGCAUAUAAUUUAACGAAAUAUUAAAGAAAAAGCCGACGAAAAGAUAAAAAUGAAACAACAUGACACUAACUUGAUACACCUUAAGGUUUCGUUUGGGAUUGUGAGGAGAUUGCGUUACGUGCGGUGAGAAACGACGAUGGAAAAAUACCUUAUUUGUUUCCGUACGUAAUAUUGCGUUCCGCAUAUUACGGUUAGUCGGUUAUGGCUUUUUCUUAACUCCAUUCUAUCUAAUAGCGUUAGAUCCACCUAAAUACCAAACUAAGCCUAAACCACAUGGUACUAAAAUGAGAAAGUGCGAAACCACAUGGGUGGUAUUUGAAGUUUACCCUAAUAAUAAUAAUAAACUUUUGCUUAUAUGUCCUAUACUUUUAUUUAAAACUUAUAAAUUUAUCUUUUAAUUUUAAAAUGCUAUUCUAAAUUCUAAAUUUCUUUAGUAAACCCAAAAAAAUAGGGGUUUAUUUUUAAAAACAAUUUAUAAUAAAAAAAAAUAUUUUUCUCAAUCAAAGAUAUGUUAGAUAUUAUUUCUUUAAAAAACAGAAAC